CACACACACACACACAUGCAUUAUUCCCAGAAAACCUCAGUGCAUUUGUCCUCAUUCUUUCACAAGGACAGGUCCCUCCACUUCCUCCCCCUCUUCAGAUAAGGUUAGGGGAAUAAAAGGAAUGCAAGAGGCGUUGAGGACACAUUACCGUACAGCCUCUGCUAGCUUUCAGUAUCUCUGUUGGUUUAUCUUCUACCUUCAUCAUGUACAAGAUCUUCCUGAUGGCAGCUUUCAUGGGCUGCCUUCUCCCUGGGGUACUGGCAAUCUGUGAACCAAACUGUAAAGGGAAGAAACCUGGUGACAAGGUUGAAGACCCCAAAGACUGCAAAAGGUACUACAUUUGCAUGAGCGGUGAAGUCCCUUCCGACGUUUCCGUCCCGUGCGAUCCUGGUAACAUUUUUGAUCCACAUCUAGAGGUUUGUUCACCUGGCGACACGUGCAUGGCCAGCUGUGUCCCACCUAACUGUCACCUGACCUGUACUGAGCAGGUUGAUCUCAUUUCUGACCCCUUUGACUGUAGCGUGUACUGGAUGUGUCUGGCAGGUCAAGUUGUGGGCGAUUCAAAACGUUGUGAGUCCGACGCACCGUAUUUCAAUGGGAAAUUUUGUGUGCAGGAUAAAUCCCAGUGUUGCAGUGAGCUAUGCACACCAUACUGCUACAAGGAUGUUUAUCAGAUACCCGACCCUACAAACUGCACGGCGUUUUACAUCUGCGAGAAAGAGGGAGUGCCCAGUGAAGCCUACCACUUUUCCUGUAAAAAUAAUGAGAUAUUUGAUAUCACUCUGGGCCGAUGUACUCCAGACGCGCAGUGCAGGCCCCUGUGUGAUGAUGGAACUGGUAACAUUGAGCCACCCGAACCAAAUACGUCCAGUACCACCACCACCACAAAUAAUCCAGGUGGAUGUAAGGACACCAUGAUUUGCAUCAGUAGUGGAUUUUUUGCACAAUGCACCACGUGUCAGCCCGGUUACUUUGAUUGUAAGGGAGCGGGGCAACAGGGCACCCUUCACAUGUGUCCUAACGGUAAAGUCUUCAAUACAAAUCCUAGCGCUCCUUUCUGCCUCCCUCCUGAAAGCUGUCCCUUUGAUCCUUAACCUCUAAACACCCACAAAGCUGUAAACCCAUCAACUAUGCUGGAGAUUUUUAAAUUCUUUAUUUUCCUAAAACUAUUUUCAUUAAUAUAUAAACAUAAAAAAACUCAAGAAAAUAAGGAUAGGUGCAAAAAUCCAUCAGGCCUAUAGAUGGCAGUCUCUCUCUAUGAAACAUGGCUACCUCUUUCCGAAUAUCAUUCUCAUCCAUAAUUUUAUCUAAUCUUCCUUUAGAGCUCUAUAUUGAUGUAACACUAACAACCUGAUUACUGAGUCUAUUCCUUUCAUUUACCAUUCUGUUUAAGAAAUAAUUCCUUCUUAUCUCUUUAAAAUCUAACUUUUCAAAUUUGAACUCAUUAUUUCUUAUUCUACCCUUACUACCGAUCCUGAUAAUUUUGCUUAUAUUAUCUUUGUUAUAUCUACUAUACCACCUAAAGACCUCUAUCAAGUCCUCUCUUAACCUACACCUCUCAUAUUUGUUAAGUACCUGCACAUACCAAGUGAGUGGCAGAGGAGAAGGGAAGCUGGCAAGGUCAAAGCCUCUUAACUACUUGCGUUAUAAACAUGAAGGUUUCUCUCACAUAUUUAUGCUGGUUUGAAUUUUUAAAGUGAUACACAUAUGCACACUACAUAAGUUGAAAUAUUUCAGUCAAAAAUGACUAAAUUUAUAUUGGUAUAGAUUUAUUUGAAUUUGUUGUUUGGAAGUGAGUUUUAAGUUGUAAUAAUAAUAAGUAUUUAUUUUCCAAUAAUUGAUUUAUAUGUACGUUGUAUGAAUGAAUGAGUAUACGCAGCAUUUUUGAUAAGAUGUUGCCUUUGAUUCAUCCUUCUUCUUUGUGUUCGCCUUAUUUUAUUCUACAGCCUUCACUCUUCCACCCUUUCCAAUAGCAAGCUCUGAAACUUGCACUAUUACUCUAAAGCAAGAGAUAGCUAAUACCUUCACUCUCACACUCUUCCAAUGGCAAGUAUUGGACUCGGGCUUUUUAUAUUUUUUUUUUCACUCUUGCUUUGUUCUCCUUUACAUAAAAAAAAAUAAAUAAAUAAAAAUAAAAUAAAUAAAUAAAAAUAUCUAUCUAUAUACCAUUCUGUCAGCCUGUCCUGUCUGUCCUGUCAGCCCUUAAUGGAAAGGGAUGGUCUCGUGGACAACCCUAGUACACCCUAAUAAUGUCAAUAAUGAUAAUAGACUAGUAGAAUAAAGGCAAAAUGAAGGUUAAAUUAAAGAUUAAAAGUGCAAUGCCUACGAAUCUAUUAAUUUGUAAAUAAGAUCUACGUUAUUUUAUUAUUAUUAUUAUUACUAUUAUUAUUAUUAUUAUUAUUAUUAUUGUUAUUAUUAUUAGUAGUAGUAAUAGUAGUAGUAGUAGUAGUAGUAGUACUAGUAGUAGUAGUAGUAGUAGUAGUAGUAGUAGUAGUAGUAGUAGUAGUAGUAGUAGUAUUGUUAUUAUUAUUAUUAUUGUUAUGAUGAUGAUGAUGGUGAUCAUGAUACAUUGAAAUUAUACGCUUUAUGCUUUGGCUUUGUUCAUCUUUCACUUGUAACCACAAGCAAGAGUGGUGCGAGUGAAGGAUUUCAGCAAGAAUGGAAGGCACAGUCCACAAGAAGGUAGUGAGGCGUCCGUGUUGUAUAACAUGGAGACAGCAGUAAUGACAGAAAGGCAGAGACGAGACUGGGAAGAGAUAAGGAGUGCAUGGGGAGGUGGAUGUUGGAGGUCGGCUAAUAUAUCUUUUUACUUUUUUUUUUCUAUUCUGUCCAUCUCCCUAAUGCAAAAAUUAAUCCGCAUUCUCUAGCAUUUAUCCAUAUUCUGGUAAACUCUAGAAUUCCCUGCCUGCUUCUGUAUUUGCUCCUUCCUACGACUUGAACUCUUUGAUGAAGGAUUCAAGACACUUAACCUCUAAUUAUAGAUGAUUAUUUUUUUUACCUUUUUUUUAGAGACAAACACCUCGGAAUGCCUUUUUUUGUUUUUCGUUUUUUUUUUUUUUUUUUUUUUUAGCCCAAGCCAGUGUUUUUAAUACAUACAAAUAAAAAUAAAUAAAUAAAAUAACAUAUUAUCAGUGCUGGGAAGUAUUUGUAAUGACUGGAUGAAGAACUUACAUUUUCCAUUACAAAACACGAGAAAUUACUGUAUUACAGAUAUCAGAGGUGGACGUGGCAUGACCGGUGUUCUGCUUUGUGACUAUUACCACGUUCUGCCACAUCACACAUCAUAAUCCCACAAAAAUGAAUUAUGUUCUAUAUCUAUUAUAUACCAGGGUGACAAUUCAUAUGGAUAAUCACCUAAUAAAUAGCAUCACAACCCCUAACAGAAGCAAUUAAAAGAUUAGUUAGGAUUUUUGGGCAAGACAGAGAGGCCACCAAACAUCAUGUAGCAUGGAGAACAGGCAUAACAUAAACAAAGCUGACACAUGUAAGCUUGCCUCUUUAACUCUUCCAUUAUCGACUGUCCUCCCAUAUGUAAGCAAUGGGUUUCUGUGCAUCACCGACGCCCCACCCAUUCCUCCACAUCGUGCAUAGAUAGUUUCCAACUCGUUACCAAAUCACUUCUAUUCACAAUAUCGCAUUUAUGAUUAUGUCGUCUGUCACAUAAACCCUCAGUAAAAGGAAGAUUUGGAA